AGUCAAGGAGACUGAGCACUGGGAGUGCAAAAGGAAAGCAGUCAAGGCUGGCUUUGAGCACUGGGAGUGCAAAAGGAAAGCAGGUAAGGCUGGCUUGGAGCACUGGGAGUGUAGAAAGGAAAGCAACAGGCUGACUAAGCACUAGAGUGCAGAGAGCUGACAAAGACACUAGGUUGGUGAAACCAAUAUUGUUUUGUUCUAGUUUAACC